UGGUUUUUGAUGUCGCAGAUACUGCAUCAGGAACUGAUUGGAUAAGAAUCAGUCACCAUCAGUUCCUAAUGCAUUGCCUUCAGCAUCUAAACA
rnacentral:pre_miRNA from 1 species